GUGAGGGAGGGGGUUACUAGUGACAGAGGGAGGGGUGACUAGGGACAGAGUGAGGGAGGUGGUGACUAGGGACAGAGUGAGGGAGGUGGUGACUAGUGACAGUCACCACCUCCCUCACUCUGUCACUAGUCACCACCUCCCUCACUCUGUCACCAGUCAUCCCCUCACUCUGUCACUAGUCACGCCUUCCUUCCCUCAC